rnacentral:rRNA from 1 species
UUGUCGAAACCUGCAUGGCAGAACAACCCGUGAACCCGUAUCUAAUCUGGGAAGGCAUCGGACGGGUCUUUGCCCGUUUGUUACUUUCCAUGCUGGGGUAUGGACCGGUUGUUCUCUCGGGGACACCGGUUCACAUCCCUAGCAAAACAACGAACCCCGGCGCGAACCGCGCCAAGGAAAUUGAACAAAGAGAUCACACAUGUUGGCCCCGUUCGCGGGAUUCCACAAGUGUUUGAAUCUUGAAUAAUAACAAAACGACUCUCGGCAACGGAUAUCUAGGCUCUCGCAUCGAUGAAGAACGUAGCAAAAUGCGAUACUUGGUGUGAAUUGCAGAAUCCCGUGAACCAUCGAGUUUUUGAACGCAAGUUGCGCCCAAAGCCAUUCGGCCGAGGGCACGUCUGCCUGGGCGUCUCACAAAGCGUCGCUCCCCCCAUCGCCCUACGGGUGACGGUGCGUCGAGCGGAUAUUGGCUCCCCGUUUGCAUUUGCAUGCGGUCGGCCUAAAAACGAGUCCCGGCGAUCGACGUCGCGGCAAAUGGUGGUUGCAAAACUGUUGCAUUUUGUCGUUCGCGUCACGAUCGCAAUCGGAAGACUCCUCGACCCUGUAGCUCCAUUUGAUUGGAGCCUCGAUCGCGACCCCA